GUCGAUUCAGCCCACCGAGUUCAUGAAAAUGAAAACGAUCCUGGCUAUGCUUGUAGGCACAUUAGCGUGGACUCGGAAAGUGUCUCUUUGAGCAAGCUUGGAAUCAUUUACCGUCUAGUGCGCUACAGUGUUCUUUGACGGCGGAACUUCUACUUGGCCGGUGAGUUCCAGCGAUUGGAAAACACGAAGGAACAAUGAAAUCGGUAGCCGUUCAUAAGGCAACAAGGGACCAGAGGCUACAGUUGCGUCGCUAGCAGGCAGGACCCGAGCUAAUUAUACUGAUGCAACAUCCAAGUGCCUACGUGUACAGAUACGCAGAGGUCCCAGCACAACCACAAGCCAAUAGUGCAGAAGAUAAACACGAG